rnacentral:ncRNA from 1 species
CGGGUGGUAAACUCCAUCUAAGGCUAAAUACGGUCACGAGACCGAUAGCGAACAAGUACCGUGAGGGAAAGUUGAAAAGCACUUUGGAGAGAGAGUUAAAAAGUACGUGAAACCGUCGAGAGGCAAACGGGAGGGCCUGUCGGGUCGUUCGGUCGCUUUCAGGCGGGCCGGAGACCGGGUCGCGGGAUCGGGGACCUUCGCGGGCCUCGACUCGCGUCGCCGGCCGACGGCUCGGCGCACUAGCGUCGGACGAGGGCCGCGACCGGCUGGGCGGCGGGCAAACGGCUCCGGGCAAGGUAACCCCGCUUCGGCGGGGUGCUACAGGCCCGGUGCGCGCAAGGGUCGCCGCCCGGUCGAGGAGAGAUGCGCGCCGCACCUGCCCCGUUCGCGGGGCCGGGGAAGCCGUUCGAGCAGCGUCGUGUCGCGGUCCGGGACUGUCCUCAGUCCCGGGUCGUCUCGGCGCGGUUCCGAGCGGUCGCUCCCUCGCGAGGUGCCGCGGGUCAGCGGCUGACGCCAGCCACCUUCCCGACCCGUCUUGAAACACGGACCAAGGAGUCUAACAUGUGCGCGAGCCGCGGGGCAGUACGAAACCCGUAAGGCGAAAUGAAGGUGAACGCCGGCGCGGUCCAGGCGGAGGUUGGAUCCCGUCCCGUCGGGGCGGGCGCACUACCGGCCGAUCUUCUCCGCCCUGUCGGCGAGGUCGAGCGAGAGCGUGCAAGUCGGGACCCGAAAGAUGGUGAACUAUGCCUGAGGAGGUUGAAGCCAGAGGAAACUCUGGUGGAGGACCGUAGCGAUUCUGACGUGCAAAUCGAUCGUCAAAUUUGGGUAUAGGGGCGAAAGACUAAUCGAACCGUCUAGUAGCUGGUUCCCUUCGAAGUUUCCCUCAGGAUAGCUGGCG